AGCACUUGUAUGUGUGUCUUUAAUUUGUAACAAAGCCUUAUAGACAGGUGCAAACAGCAAAUGCUCUUUUGCAGCCCAGAACUCAUUGUUGAAUAUGAGAUUCUGGUACAUGUGCAAAGGAGUAUG